rnacentral:lncRNA from 1 species
ACUGGGUAGAAGCACGGCUGGCUUCCCACUGGUGUCACCAAGCAGAGCACCAGGAUGCCAAUGGGAGAAAUGGGGGAUGUACAAACGGACUGACACCCAGGCUGGGACGUGCUGCCCAGCAGCCCGUCCCAAAAGAGCAGAAUUCAAGGUUCCCCAGGACUCAGCCCUGAGGUUGUAGUGCGAACAAGGUCUCCAGCCAAGCCACCGCUACCCAAACCGUGAGCGCGCAGAAUGCCUGCUGCCAUUCAGAGGGGGGAGGACCAGGAACUGGAGGAUGCUCUUUUCCAUUUUAGGGCCAUUUGCAGCUGCUGCGCACGCCCUGUGGCUCAGGAUGAUGCCUCGCCAGGAAGCGAGCGGGAAGGAAGAAAUGUGGGUCUGUGCUCCAAGGGUACAUUUGUUCAGCCUGGCCGCACAUCUCAGGACUGCUUGUGAAAGGCACUGGAGGACCAACGCGUCUGCAGCAGCGCAACCUGGAUUUAAGUUCUGGCAGUCCUCAGAGGUGAAACCCACAAUUGGUUUCUAGCAGAAAUUAUAGCCUGAUAACUAUGGCGUUUUAACAGCCAUCAUCAGACGUGCUCCUGAAGGCUUUGCUGUGGGAAUGGAAAGAGCAGCAGGUCCCUGCCUCCACUUCAGAGCAUCCUCUGCACAAUCACACAAACCCAGAGCUGGGUAAGCACAUCCAGGACACUGCUGUGAUCUCCAUCCACCCAGGGAGCCUUUAGUGAGGCUUUCCCAAAUGCUGUCUCCAAAAAGCAUGGAAACAAGCAAGCUGGGAAGGGCAGUGCCAGCAGAUCCACGUCCAUCCAUGAAGCUCCCAGGCAGCUGCUUCCGAUGCCUCGGCACAGGAAAACCAGCCCAGGCAGCUGUGGCCUCCCCUUCCCAGCACAGCCUCCAUCUGUUGGGGGAAAAGGCCAGAUCUGCUGCUUGUCCCAGCCAGGAAGCACAAGGAUGUCUGCACUUAGCAUCCGGAGAGCUGCUGCCUUCCUGACACCGUGAUCUGGCCGUUAUCCCACUUCCCAACAGAGACACACGGAGAGGUGACCACCCCCUGGGAACAAGACCCAGUGAUGUGCACUUGAUGUCUGCACCUACUGCGUGUCCUGGAGAGGAAAAGAUUCCCAGGAUACAUGCAAAAAACCCUGGUAAUGUUUCUACGAAAGAUAAAGGAACUGUAAUGCUGCUUUUAGCAGGCAGAAAGCAGCAGCAUGUCUCUCUGCUGGCUUCCUGAAUGGGACAUUGGCACCGGGCAAUGGCCAAACCCAACAACCACUGCUCAGCAGGUUAAUAAUGCUUCAAAAAACUUCCCAGCAAUACCAUUUUUUGACAUAACUUUGAACUGUCAUCAGUGAGCAGAAAGGAUGUGAGUAACCUUGUUUUUCUCCUCGCAAAAUAAAACUCUAGCAAAACUUGCCUCCAGGUUUGCUUUACUUUUACACCAGGUUCAAUUAAUAAUAAAAAACAGAAAGCAG